AUGGCAAAGAAAGAUGCAGAGUCUGAGAAGCUUAAUCAGAAGUAUGAACUGCUGGUGAACCUGAAAAGAGCCCAAGCAACAGUCAUCCAGAACUUGAAGUUGAAGAAUAUGACAGACAAGCAAUUGCUUAGUGAAGCUAAGAUGAACUUGGAGUUGAAGAAUGCAGAGCUCACAAAGUCUGAGGAGAAGCUCACCCAAGAUAAGCUAGAGUUGAAGUUUCAGGUUGCUGAUUUGCUUAAGGGAAAGGAAAAGCAUGGUAAAGACAAGGGGCAACUAGAGCUUCAGAUUGCUGAGCUGAUGAAGGCAGAGGAGAAGCUGAAGGAGAAGAUCAAGGGGAUCUAG
rnacentral:rRNA from 1 species